CCUACGGGUGGCAGCAGUGGGGAAUAUUGCGCAAUGGGGGGAACCCUGAUGCAGCGCCGCCGCGUGGGUGAAGAAGCGCCUCGGCGCGUAAAGCCCUGUCAGCAGGGAAGAAAAUGACGGUACCUGAAGAAGAAGCCCCGGCUAACUACGUGCAAGCAGCCGCGGUAAUACGUAGGGGGCCAGCGUUAUCCGGAUGUACUGGGGGUAAAGGGGGCGCAGACGGUGAUGCAAGCCAGGAGUGAAAGGCAGGGGCCCAACCCCGGGACUGCUCUUGGAAAUGGGAGGCUGGAGUGCAGGAGGGGCAGGCGGAAUUCCUGGUGUAGCGGUGAAAUGCGUAGAUAUCAGGAGGAACACCGGUGGCGAAGGCGGCCUGCUGGACUGCAACUGACGUUGAGGCCCGAAAGCGUGGGGAGCAAACAGGAUUAGAUACCCCGGUAGUC
rnacentral:rRNA from 1 species